rnacentral:lncRNA from 1 species
GGCCAUACAAAGUGAUAAUAAAGGAUAACCUCAUUCAUUAAUUACAACAAAAAGAGAGGUUACAAGAAUCAUAAUAUAUAUCUAUGAGCAUAAAACUCUCAUACAUUCAACUACUAAAAUAAAAUAGAAUAACUAAGCAACCUAAAAGUCUAGUACAAAAAGAUCAGAUCAGUAAGAGCAGGCAUCGAGUUCAAGAUCAAGAUAAGUGAAAUAUAAUUAGCCUCAUCCUCGACCAAAAGGUCUGGUCCAAGAAGAAGAUGUCGG